GACGAACGCUGGCGGCGUGCUUAACACAUGCAAGUCGAACGGAAAGGCCCUGCUUUUGUUGGGUGCUCGAGUGGCGAACGGGUGAGUAACACGUGAGUAACCUGCCCUUGACUUUGGGAUAACUUUAGGAAACUGGGGCUCAUACCGGAUAGGAGCUCCUCCUGCAUGGUGUGGGUUGGAAAGUUUCGGCGGUUGGUGUUGGUCUCGCGGCUUAUCAGCUUGUUGGUGGGGUUGUGGCUUACCACGGCUUUGACGGGUAGCCGGCCUGAGAGGGUGACCGGCCACAUUGGGACAGAGAUACGGCCCAGAGUCGUACGGGAGGCAGCAGUGGGGAAUAUUGCACGAUGGGCGGAAGCCUGAUGCAGCAACGCCGCGUGCGGGAUGACGGCCUUCGGGUUGUAAACCGCUUUCGCCUGUGACGAAGCGAGAGUGACGGUAAUGGGUAAAGAAGCACCGGCUAACUACGUA
rnacentral:rRNA from 1 species